rnacentral:rRNA from 1 species
UACAGAGGUCCCAAGCGUUGUUCGGAUUCACUGGGCGUAAAGGGUGCGUAGGUGGUGAGGUAAGUCGGAUGUGAAAUCUCCGGGCUCAACCCGGAAAUGGCAUUGGAAACUACCUUGCUGGAGGAUUUGAGGGGGGAUUGGAAUACUUGGUGUAGCAGUGAAAUGCGUAGAUAUCAAGUGGAACACCAGUGGCGAAGGCGAAUCCCUGGAAAUACCUGACACUGAGGCACGAAAGCUAGGGGAGCAAACAGGAUAGAA